GAUGAAGAACGCAGCGAAAUGCGAUAAGUAAUGUGAAUUGCAGAAUUCCGUGAAUCAUCGAAUCUUUGAACGCACAUUGCGCCCCCUGGUAUUCCGGGGGGCAUGCCUGUCCGAGCGUCAUUGCAACCUUCAAGCGCGGCUUGUGUGUUGGGUCUCGUCCCCCGUGGACGGGCCCGAAAGGCAGUGGCGGCGUCCCGACAUGGUGCCCGAGCGUAUGGGAAUCCUCUUCCGCUCGAAUCGGCCCAUGCGGCGCUGGUCGUAACCAAAUUUUUUACCGGUUGACCUCGGAUCAGGUAGGGAUACCCGCUGAACUUAAGCAUACAAUAAGCGGAGGA
rnacentral:misc_RNA from 1 species